rnacentral:rRNA from 1 species
GAUGAACGCUGGCGGCGUGCCUAUCCAUGCAAGUCGAGGGAAACGAAGGGAAGCUUGCCUCCUCGGAGUUAACCGGCGAACGGGGAAGAACAAGUGGAUUAACCUACCUUUAACCCGGGAAUAACUUGGGGAAACCGAGCUAAUUCCGGGUGAUAUUUUUAAACGCCUGGUUUAAAAGUGCAAGAAGGGCUUGCUUGUACCUAUUGAAGGAUCCCCCGCUGCAUAAGCUAGUUGGAAAGGUAACGGCUUACCAAGCCAACGAUGCAUAGCCGACCUGAGAGGGUGAUCGGCCACACUGGAACUGAGACACGGUCCAGACUCCUACGGGAGGCAGCAGUAGGGAAUCUUCCGCAAUGGGCGAAAGCCUGACGGAGCAACGCCGCGUGAGUGAUGAAGGUCUUCGGAUCGUAAAACUCUGUUAUUAGGGAAGAACAUAUGUGUAAGUAACUGUGCACAUCUUGACGGUACCUAAUCAGAAAGCCACGGCUAACUACGUG